UUUCCCUUGGCUCCGGGCUUCCUGCAAGCCGAAUUUAGCUCUGCCAAGCCACGUGGACCGCAGCGGGCUCGGCAGAGGCCGAGCCUGGGAGACGCCGGAGGCGGCGGCUGCGGCGCGGGGACCUGAUCGGCGCCCCGAGAGGAGCUCCCCGCUCUCUGGACGCGGCCCUCAAGCUGGCGGGGCUAAGGAAGAGCGCCCGGGAGGCCCGGGAGCCACUGGGGUCCGUUUCAGCAGGAAGACGGGCACGCACCGAGAGGAUGGCAGUGCCCAGAAGAACUCGAGUCGGGGGCACGGUGGGGAGAAGGGGCCGAUCCCCUGCUGGCGACCGGGCAGAGCCACCCACUUCCUCUAAGGGCGCGGGACUCGAGGUGGGAUUUAGGGAGGGGGAAGGGAGGAGCGUGGGCUGGACGACUCUUGCGGCCAGAACCGCGUUCAGAGCCACAGAGCCGGGCACUGCGGCCGGCCCUGGUCCCGGCCCCGGCCCUGGCCCAGCCCUUGCCCUGGCUCGCCUGCCGCCGCUUUUUCCUUCCAGAUGCGGAGGCUGCGGCUGGAGCUUGGGGUUUGCGGAUUAGGCUUGCAGUUAUUCAGCCCUCCCUCUUUUACAGGGAAGCGGGGGCGGUGGAGACUUCUUUUGCUGAAAGGCAGAGUGCAGCGCUUUGAUGCUAAAUGCACUGGAGAGAGAUCAACCUUUUGCAGUGGAAGGGGAGAGUCCCCCAGCCUUUGUUUCAUCAGACGGCUGCUGUAGUACAGGGAUUCAGGCCAGGGCCCGCAUGGCCGGACUUCUUGGUUCAAAUCCUGCACUGCCACUCAACGGAUGUGUGAGCUUGGGCUAGUGACUGAACCUCCCAGCCUAGGUGACUCUGUGCCUCGGUGUCCUCAUCUGUGAGAACCGACCUAAGAAGUGUCUGUCUGAUAAAGCUGUUGUGAUGAGUUAGUGAAUUCGUACACAUAGAACCUUUAGAACUGUCUUUGACAUGUAGUAAGUCAGCUGUGUAGAUGGUGGGUUUCUCCAGUGUCAGGUCCCUGCCCACAGCAGGAAGAUGACCUGUGCUAGAAGAUGGGGGCUAGGGUGUUGGGGAAGACUUCAGGGACUUGGGAGAGAAAAGGAGAAAUAUUCAGAGAUGAGAAAAGUAGAAGAAAAACCAGCUUUUAAAAGGGGGAGGAGAGAGAAUGAGAAAAAUAACUACUAGAAAGGGAAGGAAAAGAUGAAUAGCCUUUUAGGUACUUCGGGACCUGCUCUGAGACCUCUUGCCUGACGCCCUUGGUUUUUGAUAGAAUUCUAGAGAAGGGGUGAGCCCUUUUGUCUGCCUGGACACAUCCUGUGGGCUUUCCUCUUUCUGAAACUCAGGUCAAGGUGUUCACUGCAUCUCCAGAUUGCUUGUGUGCAUGGGAGGAGGGGGGCAGAGAGUUCUGCUUACAUCGGCUACUGUCCCCUCCACCAGCAGCGUCUUCCAGCAAAGAAGAGCUUCUAACAUGCACCAGACUUUUAGCUUUGGCUGGGAAUAUCGUCUGGGCCAAUAAAGAGUUUUUGGAUGAAAUAACAAAA
rnacentral:lncRNA from 1 species